AACUGCUCAGUAACACAUGAUCAACUUACCCUAUAGAGAAAAAUAGCCUCGGGAAACUGAGGAUAAUAUUUCAUAGUUGAAUUGGCUUGGAAAAGUUUUUCAGUAAAAGGGAUAAGAAAAAUGGUUCUUAUCUGCUAUAGGAUAGGAUCGUGGACGAUUAUGGUUGUUGGUGAGAUAACGGCUCACCAAGCCGAUAAUCGAUAGGGGCCGUGAGAGCGGGAGCCCCGAGAUGGGUACUGAGACAACGACCCAGGCCUUACGAGGCGCAGCAGGCGCGGAACCUCCGCAAUACACGAAAGUGUGACGGGGUUACCCAAAGUGUUCAAUUCUGAACUGUGGUAGGUGAGUAAUGUUCCCUACUAGAAAGGAGAGGGCAAGGCUGGUGCCAGCCGCCGCGGUAAAACCAGCUCUUCAAGUGGUCGGGAUAAUUAUUGGGCUUAAAGUGUCCGUAGCCGGUUUAGUAAGUUCCUGGUAAAAUCAGGUAGCUUAACUAUCCGUAUGCUAGGAAUACUGCUAUACUAGAGGGCGGGAGAAGUCUGAGGUACUACAGGGGUAGGGGUGAAAUCUUAUAAUC
rnacentral:rRNA from 1 species